rnacentral:rRNA from 1 species
GCUGGGACUCGUCAUGCUCCCUGGUGCUGUCUGGGAAGCCUUUGCGGCAUGGGAUGGGGUCGCGUCCUAUCAGCUUGAUGGCGGGGUAACGGCCCACCAUGGCUUCGACGGGUAGCCGGCCUGAGAGGGCGACCGGCCACAUUGGGACUGAGAUACGGCCCAGACUCCUACGGGAGGCAGCAGUGGGGAAUAUUGCACAAUGGGCGCAAGCCUGAUGCAGCGACGCCGCGUGAGGGAUGGAGGCCUUCGGGUUGUAAACCUCUUUUGUUAGGGAGCAAGGCAUUUUGUGUUGAGUGUACCUUUCGAAUAAGCACCGGCUAACUACGUGCCAGCAGCCGCGGUAAUACGUAGGGUGCAAGCGUUAUCCGGAAUUAUUGGGCGUAAAGGGCUCGUAGGCGGUUCGUCGCGUCCGGUGUGAAAGUCCAUCGCUUAACGGUGGAUCCGCGCCGGGUACGGGCGGGCUUGAGUGCGGUAGGGGAGACUGGAAUUCCCGGUGUAACGGUGGAAUGUGUAGAUAUCGGAAAAGAAACACCA